rnacentral:rRNA from 1 species
CACGGGCGGCGGCCUACACAUGCAAGUCGAGCGGUAGCACAGAGAGCUUGCUCUCGGGUGACGAGCGGCGGACGGGUGAGUAAUGUCUGGGAAACUGCCUGAUGGAGGGGGAUAACUACUGGAAACGGUAGCUAAUACCGCAUAACGUCGCAAGACCAAAGUGGGGGACCUUCGGGCCUCAUGCCAUCAGAUGUGCCCAGAUGGGAUUAGCUAGUAGGUGGGGUAACGGCUCACCUAGGCGACGAUCCCUAGCUGGUCUGAGAGGAUGACCAGCCACACUGGAACUGAGACACGGUCCAGACUCCUACGGGAGGCAGCAGUGGGGAAUAUUGCACAAUGGGCGCAAGCCUGAUGCAGCCAUGCCGCGUGUGUGAAGAAGGCCUUCGGGUUGUAAAGCACUUUCAGCGGGGAGGAAGGCGAUAAGGUUAAUAACCUUGUCGAUUGACGUUACCCGCAGAAGAAGCACCGGCUAACUCCGUGCCAGCAGCCGCGGUAAUACGGAGGGUGCAAGCGUUAAUCGGAAUUACUGGGCGUAAAGCGCACGCAGGCGGUCUGUCAAGUCGGAUGUGAAAUCCCCGGGCUCAACCUGGGAACUGCAUUCGAAACUGGCAGGCUAGAGUCUUGUAGAGGGGGGUAGAAUUCCAGGUGUAGCGGUGAAAUGCGUAGAGAUCUGGAGGAAUACCGGUGGCGAAGGCGGCCCCCUGGACAAAGACUGACGCUCAGGUGCGAAAGCGUGGGGAGCAAACAGGAUUAGAUACCCUGGUAGUCCACGCCGUAAACGAUGUCGAUUUGGAGGUUGUGCCCUUGAGGCGUGGCUUCCGGAGCUAACGCGUUAAAUCGACCGCCUGGGGAGUACGGCCGCAAGGUUAAAACUCAAAUGAAUUGACGGGGGCCCGCACAAGCGGUGGAGCAUGUGGUUUAAUUCGAUGCAACGCGAAGAACCUUACCUGGUCUUGACAUCCACAGAACUUAGCAGAGAUGGCUUGGUGCCUUCGGGAACUGUGAGACAGGUGCUGCAUGGCUGUCGUCAGCUCGUGUUGUGAAAUGUUGGGUUAAGUCCCGCAACGAGCGCAACCCUUAUCCUUUGUUGCCAGCGGUUAGGCCGGGAACUCAAAGGAGACUGCCAGUGAUAAACUGGAGGAAGGUGGGGAUGACGUCAAGUCAUCAUGGCCCUUACGACCAGGGCUACACACGUGCUACAAUGGCAUAUACAAAGAGAAGCGACCUCGCGAGAGCAAGCGGACCUCAUAAAGUAUGUCGUAGUCCGGAUUGGAGUCUGCAACUCGACUCCAUGAAGUCGGAAUCGCUAGUAAUCGUAGAUCAGAAUGCUACGGUGAAUACGUUCCCGGGCCUUGUACACACCGCCCGUCACACCAUGGGAGUGGGUUGCAAAAGAAGUAGGUAGCUUAACCUUCGGGAGGGCGCUUACCACUUUGUGAUUCAUGACUGGGGUGAAGUCGUAACAAGAGCAAAGUCCAC